ACCAACAUUGCCUUUUUCACACGCUUAGAAAGACACACAAAACAGAUUUCAUAAUCUCUUAAAUAAAGUGUAUCUGUAAGAAGCUUGGCAUUGCAUUCAAUAUUAUAACAAAUAAUUUACAUGCAUUCACGUCAUAAAAUGCUACAUAAUGAAUUAUUAAGCUGUCAUAAGGGGUCGUUAUUACAUCUUACCGACACUACAUUUGCUUUUAAUCAACCCGGUGCACAUAAGUUAUUCGGACAGUAAAGGUAAACUUUCUAACAGCUUGAUUUAAGCAGGCAAUUAUAACGGAAGGAACAGUUCUUUCCAGGAAUGUCUUAAUUGCAACCUGUGACAGGCGAACUAAAGAGAUCAUCACAGUAGAAGAAUAGAGGAAACAACAAUAGCUGUGUAUGAUAAAGUUACUUUGAGUCCAGCCAGGUUCACACUGACCAGGACAGUGGCCAGACACAUGGUGAAAGCUUGAACCGUUGAAACAAUGACAAGCAGAGGAGCAGUUCUCGCCAAAGUGCCCAUGAUCGCAAGCUAUGAAAGGCGCACGUGUCGGGACAUUUACAAUUUUUUUUUUACAAUACUCCCCUUGUCGACAAUGGCAGGAAAAAACACCAGGGUGCAGGAUCACGUGACUUUGUGGGAUUCCGCAUUAAACGUUAAUUGAUGUUAACAUAUCGUUGAUGUCCGACGGCUCUGAUUGGCGUUAUGGUAAGUUCUAUC